rnacentral:rRNA from 1 species
GACGAACGCUGGCGGCGUGCUUAACACAUGCAAGUCGAGCGGAGCGGCGAACGGGUGAGUAACGCGUGUGUAACUUCCCCCCUCCCUGGGAUAACAGUUGGAAACGGAUGCUCAUACCGGAUAGUGGGGGGUGACUCGCGUCCUAUCGGCUUGUUGGUGGGGUAGUGGCCUACCAAGGAGACGACCGGUAGCCGGCCUGAGAGGUCGACCGGCCACAUGGGGCUGAGAUACGGCCCAAACUCCUACGGGAGGCAGCAGUGGGGAAUAUUGCACAAUGGGGGAAACCCUGAUGCAGCAACGCGCGUGCGGGAUGACGGCCUUCGGGUUGUAAACCGCUUUCAGCCAUGACGCGGUAGUUGCAGAAGAAGCACCGGCUAACUACGUGCCAGCAGCCGCGGUAAUUC